rnacentral:rRNA from 1 species
GAUGAACGCUGGCGGCGUGCCUAAUACAUGCAAGUCGAGCGAACAGACGAGGAGCUUGCUCCUCUGAUGUUAGCGGCGGACGGGUGAGUAACACGUGGAUAACCUACCUAUAAGACUGGGAUAACUUCGGGAAACCGGAGCUAAUACCGGAUAACAUGUUGAACCGCAUGGUUAAACAGUGAAAGACGGUCUUGCUGUCACUUAUAGAUGGAUCCGCGCCGCAUUAGCUAGUUGGUAAGGUAACGGCUUACCAAGGCAACGAUGCGUAGCCGACCUGAGAGGGUGAUCGGCCACACUGGAACUGAGACACGGUCCAGACUCCUACGGGAGGCAGCAGUAGGGAAUCUUCCGCAAUGGGCGAAAGCCUGACGGAGCAACGCCGCGUGAGUGAAGAAGGUCUUCGGAUCGUAAAACUCUGUUAUUAGGGAAGAACAAAUGUGUAAGUAACUAUGCACGUCUUGACGGUACCUAAUCAGAAAGCCACGGCUAACUACGUG